CACAGCCUCAGGUGUGUCAGCACCCAUCCUCACCCUGGGGGCUUUUCAAUUGCUGAACACUCCCCUCCUCCUCUCCUUGCUUUGAUUUCUUCCUCUGGUGUCCAUCUCUUCUCCGUGGUUCCUCUCAGCAGCUGUGGACUCCUCUGGCACUGACACAACAGUGACCAGAUAGCCUCAGAAAGUACCUGGGAGUUGCAACACCACAAUCCCAGCCAAGCCUUAUACUCCUAUGUUAAUGCACACUUAAAACUGCAGUUGAGCUACAGAUAAUGUGACAAGGGGCAGCUCUUCAGGCCUGUGAGAGCUCAGAGAGGUGAUGGCCUCAAGGACACACUGCUCAGAAGUGGGAUUGUUUCUGAAGAGAGUGCAAGAGACGUAUCUGUCAGUGACAAGGCUGAAUGGCUCCAAGAGAUGGUGAUGGCAGAAUGGACAAGGGUUUAACUCAGCAAGGGAAGAUAGCAUGUGGAGUUAUCAUGUGGAGUUCUCCAUCAAAGAGACUAACAGCGUCAUAGAACAUGACAGCACCCAGACAAAUUGUGCACUUACAUCUUUAAAGACUCCUGUAAGUAGCAGGAAUUAAUGUGGCAUGUUUCAAUUUGCGUUUCAAACUGGAGCCAUGUGUCUGUGGACACCCUGGUAGUGCCAGGACAGUCACUGGCUCUCCCAGGGAGUGGAGCUGAAAUUCCCUCUCUGCUCAUGGAGAUGGGGAGAGGUCAGUGUGACUGCAGGGCGUUUGUUUGCUCAGUGUGAAAUACCUCGUUUCUGCUUCUGAUCCACUGUUUGCUCCUGCGGUUCAGCCCUGCAGUCUCUUCCCAGGUACCCUGCUCUGUUUGUUCUAGGUUUUGGUAUGAAGCAAUGAUCAGGGGAACACCCAUAUGAGCUGCAGGAACAAACUAUAGCAUAAGAACAUAAAGCCAAAACCCCCCAAAUCCUUCCUCAGCUGCUAAUCUCUGAUUUCACAGUUGCCACCUAUCCAUCUCCACCACAGCUUUCCCACACCCAUCAAAUUGCACAGGAAUGACACUGAGAGAACCAUGACAUCCCUGCAGGGCUGAAGCAAAAAUAUCCCACUGUUUAGAGUUGCAUGGCAACAUAAAUAACUUUGACCUCAAUAAAAGGGUGAAAAAGUAUAACAAAUUUAGGAAGGGGGGGUCUCCCAUAGCAGGUCACUGUAACACAGGGUAAGUCAAUCAGGGGCUUGAAAACCCUCAACUCAUAAAACUGCUCCUGUUUCUGAUUGCAGCAUCAAAACACAGAGCAGGGAAAAUGCGGAAAUGGGGAGGUAAAUUUAAAUCAAUCAAAAACUUCACUAAGACAAAACAUCUUAUAUAAUCUUCCCACUGGGAAGAGAAGGAGAAUAGACUAUCAUGUAACAAGUGCUAGUUUUGUCAGUUGAUGUACUCCUGGAAGGCACUCAAGUAUUUCAGUGGCAUAGACAAUAGAAGAGCAAAAUGAGCAAGAGAGAACAGAACAGAAAUAGACUUGGUUAGCUUUGUCUGGGAGAGCGGGUCAAAAAUUAAAAUUUCCAUUUCAGUAAAAAUUUCAAAAUUCCUGACAACUUUUUAUGCUCUUUCAAAGGAAAAGAAAAAUAAAAGCAAUACAGUUUUUUAAAAGAAACUCUAACCAGUGAAAAAUGUCUCUGAAAUAAUAAAUACUAAGUCUGGAAGACCAAAUUUCAAUCCUCUCAAUCUCCCUACACUUCUGAUAAGUCCAGAAAAUAGUCUUAUCUAAGGUUUCACUGGCUGGC